rnacentral:rRNA from 1 species
AACGAACGCUGGCGGCAUGCCUAACACAUGCAAGUCGAACGAGACCUUCGGGUCUAGUGGCGCACGGGUGCGUAACGCGUGGGAACCUGCCCUUAGGUUCGGAAUAACUCCCCGAAAGGGGUGCUAAUACCGGAUAAUGUCUUCGGACCAAAGAUUUAUCGCCUUUGGAUGGGCCCGCGUUGGUUUAGCUAGUUGGUAGGGUAAAAGCCUACCAAGGCGACGAUCCAUAGCUGGUCUGAGAGGAUGAUCAGCCACACUGGGACUGAGACACGGCCCAGAAUACUACGGGAGGCAGCAGUGGGGAAUAUUGGAAAAUGGGCGAAAGCCUGAUCCAGCAAUGCCGCGUGAGUGAUGAAGGCCGUAGGGUUGUAAAGCUCUUUUACCCGGGAUGAUAAUGACAGUACCGGGAGAAUAAGCUCCGGCUAACUCCGUG